CCAGUGCUUGCUUUCCUCUCUCCCUAUCAAACAAUACCAUAUGUCUUCAAAAUGAACAAACAGGAACAUACCAAACCCAAAAUCCAAAUACCCUGAAACAGAGAUUUUGAGGGAGGGGGAGCAAAAAACCAAAAGCCCCUUAGUGAGAGCAAUAAUGAAAGGUGUAAUUAGAAGAAGGAACCAUUUUUGCCCCACUUUGCUCUUAUUCAUUCUCUUCUCUUUUCAUGCCUCAAGAUUUGCCUUCUCUGCAGACACCUUAUUGGCAACCCAGUCCCUCACAACUAACCAAACUCUUCUCUCUUCAAGCCAGGUUUUUGAGCUUGGAUUCUUCGCUUCAGGAAAUUCCAAGAAUUGGUACCUGGGGAU
rnacentral:misc_RNA from 1 species